rnacentral:rRNA from 1 species
UUUUCAAAUACUGGGAUUAGACCCCACUAUGCUCAGCCGUAAACCUUUAAUUACACCCGUAUCGCCAGGGAACUACGAGCUAAGCUUAAAACCCAAAGGACUUGACGGUACCCCAUAUCCACCUAGAGGAGCCUGUCCUAUAAUCGAUAACCCCCGCUUAACCUCACCAUUUUUAGCUAUAUCAGCCUGUAUACCUCCGUCGUCAGCUUACCCCGUGAGCGAUACUUAGUGAGCUCAAUGUCUUUACAUCAAUACGUCAGGUCAAGGUGCAGUAUAUGAAAUGGGAAGAGAUGGGCUACACUUUCUAACUUAGAACAUACGAAAGACUAUCUAUGAAAUCCUAGUCAGAAGGCGGAUUUAGAAGUAAAAAGAGACUAUAGAGCUCUUUUAACUGCAUCUGU